GAUGAACGCUGGCGGCAUGCCUAAUACAUGCAAGUCGAGCGGACAGACGAGGAGCUUGCUCCUCUGACGUUAGCGGCGCGCGGGUGAGUAACACGUGGAUAACCUACAUAUCAGACUGGGAUAACUACGAGAACCCGGAGCUAAUAGCGGAUAAUAUAAUGAACCGCAUGGUUCAAUAGUGAAAGACGGUUUUGCUGUCACGUCUAGAUGUAUCCACGCCGCAUUAGCUAGUUGGUACGGUAACGGCUUACCAAGGCAACGAUGCGUAGCCGACCUGAGAGAGUGAUCGGCGCCACUGGAACUGAGACACGGUCCAGACUCCUACGGGAGGCAGCAGUAGGGAAUCUUCCGCAAUGGGCGAAAGCUUGACGCAGCAACGCCGCGUGAGUGAUGAAGGUCUUCGGAUCGUAAAACUCUGUUAUUAGGGAAGAACAAAUGUGUAAGCAACUAUGCACGUAUUGACGGUACCUAAGCAGAAAGCAACGGCUAACUACGUG
rnacentral:rRNA from 1 species